AGGUAAACACAAAAUAAAGGUAAACACA
rnacentral:sRNA from 1 species